GUUUAUUUUAAGAAAGCAAUAUAAAAUGUAGCAAUAUAAAACGCUAUCAAGAGGUCAACUAAACAUUCAGCUAUGCCUCGUGUUUCUUAAUGACUUCUUGUACAGCUCCCAGAAAGCUAGAAUCACAUGGAAAAUUGCUGUGCAAGUCACACCAAAAGUUACAAGUGUACAGUGUAUCAGGAUAAUAAAGUGAUAAUCAGAUGAAACCGUUGGUUGAAAAUCCACUCAAGCAAGACACAGAAUAUGGAAAAUAUGUACGAUUUUCAAGAUUUUUGACAAAACCUUACAUGAACUAAGCUUUUGGAAUUUUUUCGUUGGUAAAAAGGAAUAUUACAAAUUGUUAUCACCUCGAAUUGUUUCAAUGAUCUCAAAAUGUUCCAGAAAUAGCGUCUUAAUGUUCA